rnacentral:rRNA from 1 species
GACGAACGCUGGCGGCGUGCUUAACACAUGCAAGUCGAACGGAGUGGCGAACGGGUGAGUAACACGUGGGUGACCUGCCCUGCACUUCGGGAUAAGCCUGGGAAACUGGGUCUAAUACCGGAUAGUGUGGGAUGGGCCCGCGGCCUAUCAGCUUGUUGGUGGGGUAAUGGCCUACCAAGGCGGCGACGGGUAGCCGGCCUGAGAGGGUGGACGGCCACAGUGGGGCUGAGACACGGCGCAGACUCCUACGGGAGGAAGCAGUGGGGAAUUUUGCACAAUGGGCGGAAGGCGGAUGCAGCGACGCCGCGUGGGGGAUGACGGCCGUAGGGUUGAAACCUCCUUCCACCAGCGACGCGGUAGAUGGAGAAGAGGCACCGGCUAACUACGUGCCAGCAGCCGCGGUAAUUC